rnacentral:sRNA from 1 species
ACUAUUUUGGUAUAAUCAUUAAGUAAUAAGAAGUUAUGACGGUUGCAAAUCCAAUCAAGGUAGGUGAUGCUUAUGCAAAAUCUAACUGAAAGGAGAAGCAUUUUGUCUAUUGCUGAAGCAUUGGGCUUAAUGAUAAACUUUGGAACGUUUAUCCUUGCUCUGAUUGCCUUAGUGGUAA